rnacentral:lncRNA from 1 species
CAAGGUCAAAGGACCUUAGACAAAAAAAUUCAUGAUUUUUGGAAAGUAAGAAGUAUUUUAAAAUAAUUAAAAACAAGUCAAAAAUAAUUUAAUUCAUGAAAAAUAUCAAAAUUAAUCCAAAAAAUGAUUUUAAUUCAAAAUAUGGAAAAGAAAAAUAUUUAAAUUUUUUUGGUGAAAGUCCCAUAUUUUUUGUAUAAAAAAAUGAAAUUUCUAUGAAUAAAAUAAAAUAAAUGGAUUAAAUAGAAAAUCAAAAAAUAAAAAAUAAGUUCAAAAAAACAAAGGCC